UUCAGUAACCCUCUCUCUCUCUACUCUCUCAGAUGAACGACGCUGCCGGAGGGGAACCGAGAACCGACCGUAAACCGCCAGAGAACUGCCGGAGUCAAUACGGCCGGUUGCCCUCCCUCCCGUCGACCGGUUACGGUCGGUCCGUCCACCGUUUUCCCCCUCAUCGGUCGGCGGCGGUUCUGCCCAAAAACCGCGCCGAAGGGGUCGGUUUUCACCCCUAGGCGAAAGGUCACGAUUUCUUAUUCUUCUCCCCCGUAGUUUCGUUGUCUUUUGUCGCAUGUCUCUGUUCUCAUUCUCUCCCUCCUCAAAUCUCUCUCUCUCUCUCUCUCUCCCCCCCUAGGGCUCCGUCGCCGCAGCCACCGUUCGAAUCCCAACGCCACUCGCACCAUCGCAAAAUCCCUUGCGCCGAACGCCUCUCUUUUGGUCCCGGAGCCCGAAGCCCGUGAGUUCAAAACCAUAGCCUCAGCCGCCGCUCCCACCGUUCUCCUCCCUGUUCGCUGCUGCUAUAGGGAGAUCCUUUGCCCUCCCUCAUUUUCCCCUGCCCCGGACACGCUCCUUAGCCCUCUCUCCCUCUCGGUGAGUCACUGCCGUGAUCCCCCAGCUGCGCCAACCACCGCCAGCACCUUAACCGUCCACACAACCACCUCUCUCUCGAUGCGUAUGCAUGCAUGCUGGAUGGCAUGGGUAUUGAUCAUUUGUUCUAUAUUUUGGUAUGGGUAGCAUGUGUAGCUCACCUUUCUGGAACUCGUUCUCGAAUACUGGUGGAGCUUUUCACAAGAGAAAUUUCUUGCUGGUUGUUGCUACCAGGAUGAUGAGUCUGUGUAAGCUUUUAUGAAGUUUUCACUUUUGGAUAAUUGUCGUGAUGCUAAAUCUGAUGAUCUGAUUUAGUUGAACCUUUAACUAGGAUCAUUACAGUCUAAGUCCCAAGCUUUAUUGGUAUCACACUUACAGCUUUUCUUGAAUAAGAUUAUUAACUUAUUAUACAAAACAUAAAUUCCCAUAGUGCUGUAAUGAUUGUCUUUACUUUUACCUUGAGAGUUCUGUUUUCAUUUAUGAACUUGCUAUGUUGUUGUGUGAUGUUAUGUUUUCAUUUUUUCUCGUGUAUUGAUUUUGUAUUGAAUUAGAGAUUUUUAUUAUCGUGGGAUUACUGUGAUUGGCUAGUAGUCUUGCGUUUCUUGACCUAGUGAUUGUUGGGUUCGUAAUGGUUUUUGCCAUUUGGUUUUAGGGACAUUGAAAUUAUUGUUAUAUUCAAGCAUUCUAUUUUUUUAAUUUGUGUCUUCGUCUUUUAUGAAUAAAUCAACAGUUCACUGCCCAAUAAUUUCAGUCUGGAGUAGGUGGGCACGUGCUUUUCUCAAGGCUUAGAACAAUAUUUUAAUAACAAAAUUAUGCUCAUAAAUUUUAUACUGCCCAAUCAUAUGUAAGGUUUUUACACCAAUCUGUUAUAAAGCAUAUGAUCGAUGGUUAGAAGAGUUUUUCAAAAUACUUGCUGAAAUGCCUUGGAAGUCAUUAUUUAUUGAUGCUGGAAAUACAGACAUAUACAUGAAAUUUGGUCGGAGAUGUGGCUGCUUGUUUAAAUUAUCACCAAACCUGUAAAAAAUAUGGACUUGAAGCUAGAACCAUGAAAUCUCUCUAAGUCUCUGUUGAAGCAAUCUUACCUUAAUAAAUGCUAUUUUAGAGCUUUCAUUGGCCAUUUUUUCAUGUUUUGUCAACGAGAAAAUAUUGGGAGCAGCCACUAUUCACCACUACACACCACACAUCCUAUAAAAAAUAUUUAUAAAUCCCUUUGUCAACCAAGAACCUGAUAUUUUUCCCUUUUAACAAGUCUGGGACUAGUGUUGGUGGUGUCAAAUGGUUUAUAGUUUUUGGUCAGAUCAAAUUGUAUGCCAUGCAUUCUACAGAUAAAAUCAAUAAGACAUAUACAGAUACCCUUUUCUAUGUAUCUGAGUGCAUCUAUAAAGAAUUUGGUUCAUAGAUCCAGCAAGUUGAAAGCCAUAUCUUCAAGAGAAUAGCCAUUUGUUUUUGUUUAUAGUUUCUCAUUUGAAUGACAGAAUAUUAGACUUGUAACAUGGAUUGGUUGUAAUAAGUGUUGGGGCAUGAUUAGCAGCUCUUGGUUAUAGUAAGUGUUGGUUAAUAGCUCUUGAUGGGAAGUGGAGGUUCACAUUAGCAGCUACAGGAUCUCACAAAGAAGUGGUUGGCAGACUAAAGCAUCUUCCUUUCACAAAAGCAUAUUUCAAAAGAACCUUUUCAGAUAUCACAAAAGUAUUUUCCUCUAACAUCUUAAGUGGCCAACAUGCAAUUAUGUCCUUUGUCUGAUGGAUGGAGAUAACAAGGAUCUCAGUUUCGUGCUGUGGCCACUGGUGGAACCUCGUCUAGCUGAUAAAUGGGUGCACUCAGUUCUAUUUUCACGACAACAUAGCACUUGCCUCAUUCCUGGAAGGUGAGAUACCAUGAGUGGCAUUUGUGGAAGGCGUGUUUUUGGAGUUAUUUGCAGAAGAGCCCUGAAGGCUCUCUGUUUGUAUUUUGCUGCUGAAGCCUUGGUCUUUGUAUUUGAGUUAGACUCUGUCUCAACAGCUUUAAACUCUGAGUUGGCACAACUUCUUGGUUAAGUUACACAACUUCUCCAAAAUAUGUAUUUCAAUGUACUUCGAGAACUCAUAAAUAUGUUCAAGAAUUUCUUCCAUCUGGAAUUUGAGAUUUAAUAUAUGGAUUUUGAUUCGCCA